rnacentral:rRNA from 1 species
UACGUAGGCAGCGAGCGUUGUUCGGAGUACUGGGCGUAAAGCGUGCGCAGGCGGUUGUGCAAGACAGGUGUGAAAUCCCCGGGCUAACCUGGGAACUGCACUUGUGACUGCACAGCUGGAGUACGGCAGAGGGGGAUGGAAUUCCGCGUGUAGCAGUGAAAUGCGUAGAUAUGCGGAGGAACACCGAUGGCGAAGGCAGUCCCCUGGGCCUGUACUGACGCUCAUGCACG